rnacentral:rRNA from 1 species
UCAGCUCGUGUCGUGAGAUGUUCGGUUAAGUCCGCUAACGAGCGCAACCCUCGCUGUGUGUUACAAGUGUCACACGGAACUGCCGGUCAUAAACCGGAGGAAGUGGGGAUGACGUCAAGUCAGCAUGGCCUUUAUAUCCUGGGCUACACACACGCUACAAUGGGAAGGGACAAUAGGUUGCGAAGCCGCGAGGCGGAGCCAAUCCAGCAAAACUUCCCUCAGUUCAGAUUGCAGGCUGCAACUCGCCUGCAUGAAGUUGGAGUUGCUAGUAAACGCAGGUCAGCCAUACUGCGUUGAAUACGUUCCCGGGCCUU